AUCAGAGAUCCCUGGAAAAAAACGAGGGUUUGGCUUGGCACCUUCGACUCUGCGGAGGACGCUGCCCGUGCCUACGACGCCGCAGCCCGCUCUCUCCGUGGUCCAAAGGCGAAAACCAAUUUUGUUUCGGACUCCCAUUUAUCUCCUUUCACCUACCAAAAUCCACAGGAUGCUUUCAUGGAUCACAGAUUAUAUACAGCUAAUGGGUUUCCCGAGCAUCCCGUAAAUCCACAGAGACCCACGUCUAGUAGU
rnacentral:misc_RNA from 1 species